UUUGGGGUAAAUAAAAAUAAAAUUAUUUUGAAUUAAAUUGAUCUUAAUAAAACUAGAUGAAAAAGGUACUCUAGGGAUAACAGCGUUAUAAUUAUUAAAGCCCAUAUUAAAAUAAUUGUUUGCGACCUCGAUG
rnacentral:rRNA from 1 species